CAAUCACUUGUCUUUUAAAUGAAGACCUGUAUGAAUGGCACAACGAGGGCUUGACUGUCUCCUUUUUCAAGUCAAUGAAAUUGAUCUCCCCGUGCAGAAGCGGGGAUAGAACCAUAAGACGAGAAGACCCUAUGAAGCUUCUAGACACAAAGCAGCAUUACGUUAAAUACCCCCCUACUACGGGACCAAACUAAAUAGGACCUGCUCUAANGUCUUUGGUUGGGGCGACCUUGGGGUAAUAAACAACCCCCAUGUGGAACGGGACCACCUUUCCUCACCUACAACUAAGAGUCACAACUCUAACUAACAGAACUUCUGACCAUCAAUGAUCCGGCAACGCCGAUCAACGGACCAAGUUACUCUAGGGAUAACAGCGCAAUCCCCUUUUAGAGCCCA
rnacentral:rRNA from 1 species